rnacentral:rRNA from 1 species
UUCGCAAUGCCCGAAAGGGUGACGAAGCGACGCCGCGUGUGGGAAGAAGGCCUUCGGGUUGUAAACCACUCUCGGGAGUAAGGAAAUGCAAGGGCGUUAAUAGCGCCUUUGCUUGACUAAGGCUCCGGAGGAAGCCACGGCUAACUCUGUGCCAGCAGCCGCGGUAAUACAGAGGCGGCAAGCGUUGUUCGGAAUUAUUGGGCGUAAAGAGCACGUAGGCGGCCCUGCAAGUCAGUUGUGAAAGCCUUCCGCUCAACGGAAGAAUGCCAGCUGAUACUACAGGGCUUGAGUACGGGAGGGGAGAGUGGAACUUCUGGUGGAGCGGUGAAAUGCGUAGAUAUCAGAAGGAACGCCGGCGGCGAAAGCGACUCUCUGGUCCGAAACUGACGCUGAGUGUGCGAAAGCUAGGGGAGCAAACGGGAUUAGAUACCCCGGUAGUCCUGGCCGUAAACGAUGGGCACUAAGUAGAGGGGUUU